rnacentral:rRNA from 1 species
GCGGCGGACGGGUGAGUAACACGUGGGCAACCUGCCCUGCAGACUGGGAUAACUUCGGGAAACCGGAGCUAAUACCGGAUAACACCGAAAACCGCAUGGUUUUCGGUUGAAAGGCGGCUUUUAGCUGUCACUGCAGGAUGGGCCCGCGGCGCAUUAGCUAGUUGGUGAGGUAACGGCUCACCAAGGCGACGAUGCGUAGCCGACCUGAGAGGGUGACCGGCCACACUGGGACUGAGACACGGCCCAGACUCCUACGGGAGGCAGCAGUAGGGAAUCUUCCGCAAUGGACGAAAGUCUGACGGAGCAACGCCGCGUGAGCGAAGAAGGUCUUCGGAUCGUAAAGCUCUAGUUGUCAGGGAAGAACAAGUGCCGUUCGAACAGGGCGGUACCUUGACGGUACCUGACGAGGAAGCCACGGCUAACUACGUGCCAGCAGCCGCGGUAAUAC